CGGCUGGUUUGUCUGCCCCACGCCGCGCCCGCUGCUUCAUCCAUCCCAGGGGGCGCGGCACACGCCACGGCGGUCUGGGCUCUGCCUUUCCUAGAACUUCCGUAGGAUUCGCCGCAGUGUACUUUCAGUUUCUACUUCGCGCUGGGUCUGCAGGUUCGAGCUUGGGGUUCCUCGCCCGGCGCCUCCAGCGCCCCCCUCCCCCGCGCACCUGCGUCCUCCCCAGGUGCUUCCUGUGCACCUGGGUGACCACGGCCGGAGGAGGGCGCCUCAGGAGGACCUAGGGGGCCUUCGGAGGAAGAGCGGUUCCCGGCGAUGACCUCUCACCGCCUUGGCAGCGUCAGGCCACCGCGAUCGAGGCCACUGGGCGCGCAAAGCAUAGGUUGCCACUGCGUCCACGGAAGCGACACAGGUGUAGGGCGAAAGCUGGGCGAGUGCGAGCUGAGCGCGGAGAGGGCGUCGCAGCUCCUGACGUGGGUGUGGUGGACAAUGCCAAUGUCUUGUGAAACUUUAUAUGGGGUGUUCUGUGAUUAGAGAAAUGAUUGCCAUUCCGUUUACUCAUAGCCCCAAUGAGUUGUGCAGAAAAGCUAACAGUACGCCAAGUUCAUGAAAAAAGGAACUUAGGAGGGUUGAGAGGGUCAUGCCCUCACUCAGUCCCUGGAGUCACUCUCAUCAGCCCCUUUCCGCUGUCUGUGUGCAUGCACCUGCCCAGGUGAUACCUCAUGGAAAAGAAUCCCAUGGGCCCACCUACGCUGGGAAGCGGUAACUUUGUGGACGUGGGAAAUCAGAGCCCAACUUAGGCGGAGGAAGUGGAGUCUAUCACAGUUAAAUCACCGUGACUUUCACGUUUAUCUGAAUUGGCUAAGAAAUCACACUUUCCCUUUGGACCGUUUGUUACUGAGGAGUUAAUGUUUUAUUUCCAGGCCUGAACUAUUUAGUCGCACGUCCUGCAUCCAAUCCAGAGGCAAGUCCAGUCAGCUCUGCUUCUGGAACAAACCCGAAUCCAGCCUGUGUGCUCCGGGAUUGCCCGUGGGGACACCAUGAAGACCCUGCGGUCUGGGAUGGUCCCUCCCCUCACAGAGGCAGGGACCUGAUUUACACUCGCCACCCUCUGGGACUGUCCUCUGGCCCUUGGCGUUGUCCCAGGCCUAAGGUGCUGGGUGACCUGGGCUCUGCUGCCCCUCUCUGACCGUGGCUCCAGCCACACUGGCCUGUUUCUCCCCUGUCCCAGCCAAACUCCCUCCCACUGGGAACAGUAUUUAGCACUCAGACAGCACUGCCCAGGGACAGAGUGAGAGACAGCUGUGGAGUGAGAAAAUGUGAAUGGGAACGUGGGUGGAAGAGAAACGAUGUGAGGGCAGAUGGACAGGAGGGGGCCAAUGAGAAUAGGAGAGGGAAUGGGUGGGCAAAGCUGAGUGUUGCCAUGUGACUGGAACCUAGAGCGAGGUGAGCAGUGGAGACCGAAUCCUAAAUGGGAAUUCUGUGCCUAAGCACACUAGAGUGGUUAUUUAUUUACUUAAAAUCCCCGACAGUGGCAUUGAGGCACAGAAAUUGCACCAGCCUGCACUUUUUUGUUUUACUUUUCAGGGACAAAUAAAAGAUCAUCUAUCAAUAACUUCCUCAGGAAGAAAUCCAUCUUCCUUUUUUUUUUUGCACAAUCACCACAAAACCUGGCAUAAUAAGGGCUUGUCAUCAGUGAACUUUGAGGAAGCAUGAGGUGAAAUUAUUCAGAGCUCCAGUAGAGAUGUAAAUUCCUCACUCUCUUCAGAACAUAUUCAUAAAGGAUUUGGAAUUUUUGUUGUUGCAUGAGAGUGAGCACAUUCUCACCAGAAGUUAUUAUGCAUGAGAGGUGCUAGAGUCUAUCUAUAAUAACAAAAAAAGGUAAUAUGCUAAUUAGACAGACAAAGCCUUGGUGGGCAGGGGCUGAACCCCUUGCACGAAUUUUAUGCAUCGGGCCUCUAGUUUAUGUAUUAAUUGAUAAAAUUGGGUUCUUGUGUAGAAGUAGGAAAGGAUGGAACCAAGAAACCCAAGAUCUCUGAUCUAUUUUUUCUUAUGAUUCCUUCAAUUCCCUGUCUAUUAGAGAAUUAAUACCAUUUGUAAAAAAUUCCAAAAGGAAAUCUUAAAUGAAUGGCUGAUAUUUUGAUAAGCUGAACAUUAUUUUUCAUAAGACAAGGAUAAAAUGUCUUGUAAAAUUUUAUAUGCUGUUGUUUUUUGAUUAGAGAAAUGAUUGCUAUUCCAUUUACUUGUAGCCCCAAUGAGUUGUGCAGAAAAGCCAACAGUACUCCAAGUUCAUGAAUUAUUAUAACCAUAAAUACUAAGAAAGAAGACAACAUUCUCAGAAUGAUUAGUACAAUGUAAUAGAAAAAAUGUAAAUAAGAUAUGAAAGUCAACUUAAAGAGAUAGUUGUUGAAGGUUAAUCAAUGUCUUUUUAAAUAUCUUACAGUCUUCCAUCAAAAUAGUCAAUUAUUGGUAACCUGAAAAUAUUUUCUUAUUUAAUUAUCUGAACUAUUUUUACCACCUCUGACUGCUCUUGAUAGUCUGAGAUCUGAAUGCUAGCUGUUGGUCUGUCUGUGGAUAUUUUCCUGAAGUUUCUAUGACUUAAUUUUCCAGGCAUACUAUUUAACAUAUUCAAACACACACACCCAUACACACACACACACACACACACACACACCCCACACACAUCCGACUUUUUUAUGGGCGUGUGUUCUUUGUAUGGCAUAGAGGCCCAUGUAGUGCUUAGAAGGGCUCCCUGCUUGUUUCAAUGCUCUGCUGUCUUGAAAUUCUUAAUUGUUUUUGGACAAGGGCUCUCUCAUUUUCACUUUGCACUGGACCCCGCAAAUUCUGUAACUACGUGCGUACACACACAUGUUAAGCUACACAUUGUAGAUAACAAUGCAUAUCUUCAAGGUGGCUUCAGUCUGGUGGGGAGAUCAGAAGUUAGAAGUGUAAUUUCAAAGAUAAAAGAAUGUUAUAAAAAGGAAAGGACAAGAUGUACUUCAAACCAGGGAUUUAAGGCAAUCUAGACAGACUCACUUGAAAAAUUAGUGAAACUAGGGUCCAGAAAAGGUUCAUUUACUUGGUUAGUGGGAAAAUGGCUAUAAUGAAUAACCUUCCAUUUAAAUCAGAUUUAUUUGUUUUUCAAGCCUGACCAUGAGGAUAAAUUUUAUCAAAUGACCAAUGAGCAUGUUUACAUGGUUGUGUUUUUUCCUUGUUGCAUUUCUAAAUAGACCACAAAUUUAUCAUAAUGCUAAAUUCUAGUUGCUAAUAUUUAACAUAGAAUUUUUCAAUUACAUUUAUAGUUGGUAUAUGUUUGUUUUUCAUAUUAUAUUUAACUGAGUUUGGACUAUUUUUGUCAGAUUCUCUUAGCUUUAUAAAGGGAUGUGGGAAUUCCCUUGUUUUUUUUUGUUUGUUUGUUUAAAGAAACUGUAACUGUUUAAGCAUUUUAUAAACUGUUUCUGGGUAGUUGAUUAGAGUUCAACAAUAAAACAUGCCUCAUUUAAUAGGAGAAAGUCCAGGGAUAGGAGGAGAAUGCCAGUUUCGAACAUUGUAAGAUUGAAAAUAAAAAGGAUUCCUUCCAAGGC